rnacentral:rRNA from 1 species
UGGGGAAUAUUGCACAAUGGGCGCAAGCCUGAUGCAGCCAUGCCGCGUGUGUGAAGAAGGCCUUCGGGUUGUAAAGCACUUUCAGCAGGGAAGAAGCGAAAGUGACGGUACCUGCAGAAGAAGCGCCGGCUAACUACGUGCCAGCAGCCGCGGUAAUACGUAGGGCGCAAGCGUUGUCCGGAAUUAUUGGGCGUAAAGAGCUCGUAGGCGGUUAGUCGCGUCUGCUGUGAAAACUCGAGGCUCAACCUCGGGCUUGCAGUGGGUACGGGCUGACUAGAGUGCGGUAGGGGUGACUGGAAUUCCUGGUGUAGCGGUGGAAUGCGCAGAUAUCAGGAGGAACACCGAUGGCGAAGGCAGGUCACUGGGCCGCAACUGACGCUGAGGAGCGAAAGCAUGGGGAGCGAACAGGAUUAGAUACCCUGGUAGUCCAUGCCGUAAACGUUGGGCACUAGGUGUGGGUCCAUUCCACGGAUUCCGUGCCGCAGCAAACGCAUUAAGUGCCCCGCCUGGGGGAGUACGGCCGCAAGGCUAAAACUCAAAGGAAUUGACGGGGUCAUAGCUGUUUCCU